rnacentral:rRNA from 1 species
UGGGGAAUUUUGGACAAUGGGCGCAAGCCUGAUCCAGCCAUUCCGCGUGCAGGAUGAAGGCCCUCGGGUUGUAAACUGCUUUUGUACGGAACGAAACGGCGCUUUCUAAUACAGAGUGCUAAUGACGGUACCGUAAGAAUAAGCACCGGCUAACUACGUGCCAGCAGCCGCGGUAAUACGUAGGGUGCAAGCGUUAAUCGGAAUUACUGGGCGUAAAGCGUGCGCAGGCGGUGAUGUAAGACAGAUGUGAAAUCCCCGGGCUCAACCUGGGAACUGCAUUUAUGACUGCAUCGCUGGAGUGCGGCAGAGGGGGAUGGAAUUCCGCGUGUAGCAGUGAAAUGCGUAGAUAUGCGGAGGAACACCGAUGGCGAAGGCAAUCCCCUGGGCCUGCACUGACGCUCAUGCACGAAAGCGUGGGGAGCAAACAGGAUUAGAUACCCUGGUAGUCCACGCCCUAAACGAUGUCAACUGGUUGUUGGGUCUUCACUGACUCAGUAACGAAGCUAACGCGUGAAGUUGACCGCCUGGGGAGUACGGCCGCAAGGUUGA